rnacentral:rRNA from 1 species
CUACGGGAUGCAGCAGUGGGGAAUAUUGGACAAUGGGCGAAAGCCUGAUCCAGCAAUGCCGCGUGAGUGAUGAAGGCCUUAGGGUUGUAAAGCUCUUUUACCCGGGAUGAUAAUGACAGUACCGGGAGAAUAAGCUCCGGCUAACUCCGUGCCAGCAGCCGCGGUAAUACGGAGGGAGCUAGCGUUGUUCGGAAUUACUGGGCGUAAAGCGCACGUAGGCGGCUUUGUAAGUUAGAGGUGAAAGCCUGGAGCUCAACUCCAGAAUUGCCUUUAAGACUGCAUCGCUCGAAUCCAGGAGAGGUCAGUGGAAUUCCGAGUGUAGAGGUGAAAUUCGUAGAUAUUCGGAAGAACACCAGUGGCGAAGGCGGCUGACUGGACUGGUAUUGACGCUGAGGUGCGAAAGCGUGGGGAGCAAACAGGAUUAGAUACCCGUGUAGUC